rnacentral:sRNA from 1 species
GGCUGGCACUGGACAGCCCUGCUGGGAUAGAGGUAUUUUGUAUUCCAGGCAUAUUCUGGCAUGUGACAACAUGACAUAUAAGAAUACCCACAUGCUGGACCAAUGUCAGUGCCCACUCCUUACACACUGUUGCAGAAACUGUCAAGGUUCCCAUGCCCAGGAAGGUGUAGGAAUCCAACAUUGUACACUGUGCUGUAAAGAUAAGUGAACUAAAGCCUUUGCCCUCGCUGAGCUCUGUGGCAGAGGUGGGGUAAUAUGAGCUCUAACUCAGAGCUAUGGAGACUGUCACAUGUGCUCUGUGAGCUCUGAGGGAGGACAGGUGAAAACUUCUACCCUAGGAGACCCAGGAAACCUUCCUGGGAGAGAGAGCAUUGGGGAUUGGUCUGGAGACCUGGUAAGAGUUUGGUAGACCUGGAAGGUAGCAGUACUGCAGGAACCUGACAGAGAAGGGGUGAGAGGGAGGAUGUGGCAAGAUCAAGGUGGCUAGGGCAACAGCGUGUAAGGAGGGGGAGACAUAGAAGAGGAAAGAGAGGGGUGAGGGGAUAGGGAUGAGGCUAUGCCAACACUUUAAUGUGUCUCUCCAGAAACUCAGCCUUAGUGUGACCGUGUUGGCAGAUGGGACUGGAUAGGGGGUAAUUAGAUCAAGAGGACAGAACCUGGGUUGAGAGUGUCUUAGGAGUGGUUUGGCUGUGGUGAGAAGUCAGCCCUGUUUGCCUUCCCAUUCUUGUCUUCUCUUGCCCUCCAGCCUCUUAUCCCACACAACAGAGCAUUGCCAGAUCCCAGGGCCAGCCUCUUGGACUCCCCAGGCUACAGGAUCAUGAGCUAGAUAAAUCUAUUUGUGUGUUUUUUAUUUUAUAUAAAUCACUCAGCCUCGGGCACUAUGUUAUAGUAGUGGAACACGGACCAGAACAGGCUUGCCCACUGUGGUCUCCAUUGUCUGCCUUGGAGCUGAGUAGCUAGUAUCUGAAAUGUAGCUGCAGGGAAGUUGGUGGGAUACAGCAAGAGGCUGACCCUCUGUUUGUGCUGAAGAGCUGAGCAGAGCCUUACAUUGGGUCCUGGGUUUCAGAAACCUUAAGAGAAGUUUUCCAAGCUCUCCAUAGGCACUGCCCGAACAGGUUCUGAGGGCAAACAUGGAGUUUUACAGGGUUGUGGAUGUCAGCAUCAUCUUUUAACCGUAGGUCCCCAUCUGUAAGACCUUAUUCAUUCAUUGCAUGGUCAGGUUCUGGGCUUGUCUGGGUCACUGUUGAAUACAACUUGGAGUUGGCUACACAGAGGGGCCAUAUUCAACUCUGUCCCAGGGUUAGGAACAGAGCAAUGAGCACAGGUGACCUUGGUGGACACAUCUGCACAGCCUCUCUAAAGAACAUCAGAGAUGGAGCCUCAUUCUGAAUGAGUCUGGCGUCUGAGGACUGUAGCAUCCAGAAACAAGUCGUCCGUUGAAGUGGAACCCAGGUAAUGCUUUCAUCGCAAAUGCACUGCAGUGGAGACUUUGAGACCCAUAUAUUUGUUUGGCCUGUGAGUGAAAACUCAUCGAUGAUACAAUUUCAUGACUUAAAAUACAUCAACCAAAAUAACCACCAUUUCCUGUGACUCACCUUCUGGGGCCUUAAAGUGAAUUAUUUAAAGAAACCAGAACCCAAGGAUUCCAGAUGUGUAUUUCUGAAGUAUGAUACCGGUAUCUUCAUGCUCAGGUAGAAAAGUCAGAGGGCAGCUAAGCCAAAGGUAAAAAUCUGGCAGAAUGGCUUCUUUUGGAAAGGGCAUUAGUCCAGGUCAAUCCUCAUUCAAACUUUGGAGAAUUGGCUGUGGAGUGAGUCAGAACAUGGAAAAUUCCGUAAAGAUUUAUUGACCCGAAAGGAUGCUGAGGUAGCAUGCAGAGGGCGGUGGCUCUGUGCAGCUAGGACUGUUAUGUGAGCAGCUUUCUCGCCGUGGCCACUUUGGAUCGCUUCAGCCUGUCUAUCCCCCAGGGCCUGGCUCAGCUGAUGCUAGGAAAAUGGAUUUGGCCUUAAAAAGGAGCUUUUCUAGGUAUUCACUCAAUCUUUGAAGAGAAAGAAUUGGAUUAGAAAGAGCAACUGUCAGGGAUAUUGAAGACGCUCUGAGACAAUGGUUUGAAAUCUGAUUUUUCUGAAAUCUAAAGAUUCCGAUGUACCCCAAGAGAAGGGGUGGCCACUAAGCUUGUUCAGCCCUGUUUCAGUUUGGGUGUGAUGUCCCCUGCAGGUCGUGCAUGUAAACAUCUGUUCCUGGCUGGUGGGGUUGUUUGGGGAGGCUGUAGAACUUUUGUGUGGCAGAGCCUGGCUUGAGGAAGCAGCUUGCUGUGGGGGAAGAAGCCUUGAGGUAUGGAGCUUGCUUCUGGUCCUGUCUCUGCUUUCUGUUUCAUGGAGGUGUGAGAAGUAGGAAGUCCUACUUGGAAGCUGCCAUUGCCAGAGAGUCUCCAGUGCUGUGGUUUUCUCACCAUGACAGACUCUACACCUUCACACAGUGGGCCGAGAUAAACCCUUCCUUCCUUGGGCUGCUUUGCCGGUAAGAAGAAAAGCAGUCAGUGCUUCACCCAGCACAACUAAUAAUGAUAAUAGAACGCAUACACUUCACGAGGAGCUUGUUGUGAGCCUUUAAUACGGGCUAGGUGGGUUAAAAGUCUUUCCCAUCCUUAUCUCAUCUUAAUCCUCAGGCAACUCUGAAGGGGAGGCACUGUCAUCAUCUCAUUCAACAGAGGAGGAAGCAGGCACUGAGGUGAAGUGAGGGGAUCCUACCAAGGUAAUACCACAUUCCUUUGUCUCUGCUGUUCCCUGGACUAGGAAUUCCUGCUUUUAUGGACCUGGCACACUCAUCACGGCCCCAUCUCCAGGACCCUACUGUUCUUAACAUCCUUUCUAAGGCAGAGGCAAUGCCACCCUCCAAGCACCCACCUCACACAGCACAGAUGGCUAACCACUGACUCUCUCCAUUACUUGAUUGGCACGCAGGUGGUGAUAUUUUUACUUCACAACAAUCAAGUAAACCCUCUAAGUCGGGCUUCUGAUUAAUUUGGAAGCAUUUCUUGCUUCUGGAAAGGCUGCUAGUGAACUGAGUUUCAGCUCAGGGCCUAAGGCAUACAGGGCCUGUCUCUGCUUCCCAACGGCGAGCCAAACCCAUGUCACUCUCCUUUCUUAGUGUGUUGGAGCCCAAGGCUGAAGGAGCCUGCGUUCCUGAAUCAGUGGGGGGAAAGGCAACCCACCAAGGAAGGUCAGCCAUGGAAUGUAAUGGGAAAGAGAACUACACUCUUCACAUUGGCAUCUGGAUGUGCCCCAGGCCUUCUGUGCUAUGGAACUGCCUGUUAACCUGGCUGACACACUUGCUGUGCGACAUCAGAUUCCUGACACACCCGUCUAGCACAUCUUCAUGGCUCCAUGCCUGUCUUUGGAAAGAGUUCUUGUGGCUGGGGAGGUAAAGUUCUUGCUAUAUGAACAUGGGCACAUGUGUUCCCUAGCACUCAUGUAAAGGGCUGGAUGGAAGCAUGUCCUUGGAGUCCCAGGGCUGGGGAAACAGGCCAAGUAGAGCCAAGUGGAGCCAAGUCAGUGAGCUUCAGGUUCAGUGAAACGGUCUCAAAAAUAAGGGUGGGGAUCGAGAGCAAUUAAGGAAGACGCUUGAUAUCAGAUCUGGCCUCCAUACAUGCACAUACAUGAACACGCAGACAUACACAUGUACACACACACACACACAGAGUUACUGAACUCAUGUCUCCGACGGAAACUUCACUGGGGGCCAGUCCCACUUCCAAGUCAAAGGCUUCCAAUUUCCUUUCCUAAUUUUUGAGACAGGAUCUCACAUGACUCGGGCUUAUCUUGAACUCACCAUACAGUUAAGAAUGGCCUUAUCUGAUUCUUCCGCUCCUACCUCCUACAUGCGUGGGUCCAUAUACCCAGCUUCAUGGAAGAGUUUGUUGAGAGGAACUAAAAUUCUGUAAUAAAAAUGGUUUUCCAUA